rnacentral:rRNA from 1 species
UACGUAGGGUGCAAGCGUUGUCCGGAAUUAUUGGGCGUAAAGGUCUCGUAGGCGGUCCGUCACGUCGGGAGUGAAAACUUGGGGCUUAACCCCAAGCCUGCUUCCGAUACGGGCGGACUAGAGGUAGGCAGGGGAGAACGGAAUUCCUGGUGUAGCGGUGAAAUGCGCAGAUAUCAGGAGGAACACCGGUGGCGAAGGCGGUUCUCUGGGCCUUACCUGACGCUGAGGAGCGAAAGCGUGGGGAGCAAACAGG